rnacentral:rRNA from 1 species
GAUGAACGCUGGCGGCGUGCUUAACACAUGCAAGUCGAACGGUGAACACGGAGCUUGCUCUGUGGGAUCAGUGGCGAACGGGUGAGUAACACGUGAGCAACCUGCCCCUGACUCUGGGAUAAGCGCUGGAAACGGCGUCUAAUACUGGAUACGAGUAGCGGCCGCAUAGUCAGUUACUGGAAAGAUUUUUUGGUUGGGGAUGGGCUCGCGGCCUAUCAGCUUGUUGGUGAGGUAAUGGCUCACCAAGGCGUCGACGGGUAGCCGGCCUGAGCGGGGAACCGGCCACACUGGGACUGGGACACGGCCCAGACUCCUACGGGGGGCAGCAGUGGGGAAUAUUGCACAAUGGGCGAAAGCCUGAUGCAGCAACGCCGUGUGAGGGAUGACGGCCUUCGGGUUGUAAACCUCUUUUAGCAGGGAAGAAGCGAAAGUGACGGUACCUGCAGAAAAAGCGCCGGCUAACUACGUGCCAGCCGCCGCCGUAA